UGGGGAAUCUUGGGCAAUGGGCGAAAGCCUGACCCAGCGACGCCGCGUGGGGGAAGAAGGCCUUCGGGUUGUAAACCCCUUUUGCAGGGGACGACACAGGACGGUACCCUGCGAAUAAGCCACGGCUAACUCUGUGCCAGCAGCCGCGGUAAGACAGAGGUGGCGAGCGUUGCUCGGAUUUACUGGGCUUAAAGGGCGCGUAGGUGGCCUUGUAAGUCAAAGGUGGAAUUCC
rnacentral:rRNA from 1 species